AGAACGAACGCUGGCGGCAUGCCUAAUACAUGCAAGUCGAACGAACACUUCGGUGUUAGUGGCGCACGGGUGCGUAACGCGUGGGAAUCAGCCCUUGGGUUCGGAAUAACAGUUGGAAACGACUGCUAAUACCGGAUGAUGACGUAAGUCCAAAGAUUUAUCGCCCAGGGAUGAGCCCGCGUAGGAUUAGCUAGUUGGUGAGGUAAAGGCUCGCCAAGGCGACGAUCCUUAGCUGGUCUGAGAGGAUGAUCAGCCACACUGGGACUGAGACACGGCCCAGACUCCUACGGGAGGCAGCAGUGGGAAUUUGGACAAUGGGCGCAAGCCUGAUCAGCAAUGCCGCGUGCGAGGAAGAAGGCCUUGGUUGUAAACUGCUUUGUACGGUAACGAACGGUACUUAGGUA
rnacentral:rRNA from 1 species